AAAAAUCUAAGGGUCAUUGAGUCCUUGAUUUUGAAAGAGUCAUUUAGAACAAUUAUAAUACAUUGAAUUGAUGUCACCUUUACAAUAAUAUGCUAAAAACCACAUAAAAAAAUCUAAGGGUCAUUGAGUCCUUGAUUUGAAAAGAGUCAUUUAGAAACAAUUAAUAAAUACAAUGAAUUGAUGUCACCUUUAAAAUAAUAUGCAAAAACCAACAUAAAAAAAAUCAAGGGUCCAUUGAAGUCUUGAUUUUGAAAAAGAGUUCAUUUAGAACAAUAUAAACAUUGAAUGAUGUCACCUUAAAACAAUAAUAUGCUAAACCCAAUCACGCCAUUAUCAUAUUGAUUUGAAAUGAUAGGAUUUGGUUUUUAAGGUGAAACAGUGGAAAUUAAGGAAAUGACUAGUUGGUGUCUUUAAUAAAGAACAAAGGGGANACAUUGAAUUGAUGUCACCUUUACAAUAAUAUGCUAAAAACCACAUAAAAAAAUCUAAGGGUCAUUGAGUCCUUGAUUUUGAAAGAGUCAUUUAGAACAAUUAUAAUACAUUGAAUUGAUGUCACCUUUACAAUAAUAUGCUAAAAACCACAAUCACCCAUUAUCAUAUUGAAUUUGAGAUGAUAGGAUUUGGUUUUUUAAAGGUGAAACAGUGAAAUUAGGAAUGACUAGUUGGUGUUCUUAAUAAAGAACAAAGGGGAAUGUUUUAUCUAGGAGUUUUUGGUGAAUAAUGAUCUCCCUUCUCAAUCGUAUAGUUGAGUAUUUAUAGAGCUUCCUUAGAUCGAGAGUCUUCAACACAUAAAUGGUUAUUCUUUCACGUCCUUCAGGAGUGUGAGAUGUGUGGAAACCGUUCUUCUCCUAUAAUUAUGGGAGAUGUGAUUCUUCUUCUUGAUUGACUCAUCUAUUGUGUUGGUGUAGAUGGUUGUGUCAUCACCCACGUUCCUUAGAUAAGUGGAUUGUGAAAACUAUAUUCAAUAGCCCUAACCCAAUCUCAACAUCUUACAAUAAGACAUGGGCGAUCUGAGCGCUACACUAGUACUCGACCGAUAUUCCUUUGGACGACUUAUGGUAUUCGCCCAUUCCCAGUGAACUUUGUAUUGCUUCCUUUGGACCCUCUCCUUUUGAGAUCGGUAAGCUUAUCCCAACACAGGGCCCAACACAAUUAUAUUAGUACAUAGUCCCUCAAGCAUGGAGGCUUCUAAAGGACAAGUUGAUUUAGUUCGAUUGCCUCUAAUCUUCACGUUUGGGCUACCCAUAUAAAGCAGUUAAAGUCGUUCUUAAGGAGAGUCCCUCGAACAUAAUUUAGGGUGAGUCCCUCAAGAAAAAUUCCAGGUGAGUCCCUCAAGCAGAACUUGGGGAGAGUCCCUUAAACAUAAUUAGGGUGAGUCCCUCAAGAAAAAUUCCAGGUGAGUCCCUCAAGUAGAACUUGGGGCGAGUCCCUCAAGCAGACAAUGAGGACGAUAUUAUUUUGGAAGCACGUGCUAAGGAAGAGCACGGGUUAAUAUGGCUUCCAUUCCUGACUCGCACAAUCUCUACUAUUGGACAAAUGACUCCAAGCACAAGAGGGGGUAAAUUGUGUUAUUCAAAAUUUGUGAUUAAUUUAUAAAAAAAAAUUACUUAAAAAAUUCUGUUAGUAAUUAAGAUGAUAAAGUAAAUAACAUAAUUAGAAGAGAUGUAGUUACAUAUAUGGCACCAGAGAAUUAUUCAGGUUCGACCGAAUGUUGGCAUACUCUUGUCUCCAAGAGAUCUUCUUGAGAUUUGACUAUAAUAUUGAGCUUUUACAGGUUAUGUCCACUAGCUUAUCCCCAACCAAAAGAAAUAUUUUCCAUGAGUUUAGUUAACGAACCGAUUAAAGAUUUUACAAGUUGAUCUCAAUAACCAAACAAAACUUUUCUAGGCUAAGUUCUAGAAUCAAACAGAGAUUUUAAGACUGGUUAAUCUCAGGAGCCAAACUCAGUUCUUCAAGAGUAUCACACUUUUGAAAAUAAAAAUGGCACGAUACGAGUACAACUCUUUUCUCACAAACAGUUUUCACUCACAAGGCAUUAUAGAAACUUUGGUGAAAAGAAAAUAUUUUGAGAGAGGGAGAGAGAGAGAGAGAGAGAGAGAGAGAGAGAGGAGAGAGAGAGAGAGAGAGAGAGAGGGAGAAAUUAUAGAAAUCAUGAUUUUUUGUGUGAAAUGAAGAUGAGAGGCACCUUCUUUAUAUAGGAGAAGAUUUAGAUAAAAAAGGAAACGAUUCAUGGGGAAAUUAACUCAGUUAAUCAUUUAGGUCCUAAGUCUAGCCAAUUAGGUACCACAAAUAAUCGAAUAUUUAUGCCCAAUUAGGAAAGUUUGGAUAUAGAUAUGUUACCAAUCAUUAAGACAUUGUCAUAAUAUAUUAUAUAAUCAUUUUUCU
rnacentral:lncRNA from 1 species